rnacentral:SRP_RNA from 2 species
GCUGGGCGUGGUGGCGGGCACCUGUAAUCCUAGGUACUCGGGAGGCUGAGGCAGGAGAAUUGCUUGAACCCAGGAGGCGGAGGUUGCAGUGAGCCGAGAUUGAGCCAUUGCACUCCAGCCUGGGUGACAGAGCAAGACUCUGUCUCAA